AACCUUUCUCGGCCUUUUGGCUAAGAUCAAGUGUAGUAUCUGUUCUUAUCAGUUUAAUAUUUUAUACGUGAACCAUCGGUUCACAUGAUAUUAAAUUAAUUUUUCUAGAGAAAGAGCCCAUUACAGUAGCUUUCUGCUGGGGCUCUCGCGUGUUGCCUUGACGUUGCACUACUGCCUUGGCCUGGCGAACCCCAC